UCUGUAGGUUUAUAGUUCUAUUUCGUGAGUUGUUUCUGUAACUUGUUUUUUUUUUUUUGCUAGUUCUGCUGAAACGAAUGAAUCUCUGAAAUGAUUCUGACAUCUCACCUUUGAACCUGUCUCCCGGAGCAAUUCAAAAUAGCGUGGCAGAGUCUCCACACAGUCCUGAUUCUCCUAUUCAACACACAACCUGUUCUCUGCAGCACCAAAUCAGAGAUGCUUCAAACAAAUAUUGCCUGUUGAAGAACAGAGAAUCAGAAAUUGAUUGUCAUGAUCUGUGCAGCUUUCUUCAAUACAUCAUCCGUCAGCCAGAAGUUUAUUGACUUCUCAAAACCCCUUGAUGAAGACAUCUACAUCUUCGAUCAAAGGACUGGCUUUGAAUUAAAUCAACUCUAGUCUGUCGUGAAACAAAGGUUGCACUGGAUUUAUGGUGAUUACAAAAGGCUGGCUCAGGACAUGGAAGCAACCUAGAUGUCCAUCGGCAGAUGAAUGGAUGAGAAAGCUGUGGUGCACGGGAGGAGCCAGUACGUGGAACUGUCCAAGGUUAGAAACCCAAGGAUCAGAAACACUUCGGGGACUCAGUGGAAGGAAUCUUUCCAAAGACCCAUCCAUCUCACUCUCAAGCCUUGAAGGUCAUCACUCAAUUUGGUGUUACUUGUAGUUGCUCGUUUUCCAGACCACUGUUCUAAGACUAUCACAGAAAUUUUGCCAUUCAAACAACUGCCCAGGAAGAACGGUCUCUGGGUCUUAGUUGCAGUGAUCCCUUGAAAUAUUCUGCUGAACCAUAUUUGCCUGCAUUAUUAUGUUUUAUUUGAUUUGUGUGGCUGUGUCUUUAAAGACUGCUGGCUCCCAACUGGGUUAGAAGUUCAGUGACUGUUUCAGGCGUGUUCCUUAUCUAAGAUGGUGCAGAAAAACCAGAACAAACUUCCUGGCCAACCCAGGAAGACAUAUGUGGAAUGUGGAAGCACUAUGAUUGGUUUGUAUUUCAUAUCAGAGACUUCCAUAAAGGUUUUUUUCUUUUUUUUUAAUUUCUCAAUGUUAAAAAUAAUAUUAACAACAAAAAUUCUGAAUUUAAUAUGUUGUUAAAAAGUGAUAACGUGGCACUAUGGUAGUGCUGUUUAUGAUUGCUUAAACAUAUUUGUCGAUACUAUGUGUUCCCAAUUAUUUAUAUUUGAUUCAUUCUUUAUGUUUCUUCACUAUUUUUCUUACAGUGUGUUAAAGCGAGCUGACUGUUGGGAUUAAUCACUAUUCUUUGUCAUUUCCUGAAGGAUGAGCUCAGUUUAACAUUUCAGAGUCUGCCUAAUCAAAAAAUAUUUAAAGGGAAAUGCGAUUAAACAUUUCUGGGGUUGGAGAGGGAGCAUGGUAGGAAUGUGCAGAUGGAAUUCCUACUCUCAUCACUGCAGUGAUUCGAUUUGGUUGACUUCUGAUUGAUUACAAGUUAGGCUUUUGUCUCCAAACAUGCAUAUGGGAAAUUUUCAAAGUGCUCACAUAAAUUUGGUGAACGCAUGUUUGGGGGUUCCCCACCCUUUUCGUUCAGAUGAGGUAUAAUUAAUUCCAGGUGUUUGAAAGCCCUCAAUAAAAAAAGUUUUCGAGGACGAGGAACA
rnacentral:lncRNA from 1 species